rnacentral:lncRNA from 1 species
ACCAUAUAUUAAUUUUUUUUUUUUACUUUCUUAUUAAUUAUCCACAUAUGAAACUAUUCAUAUGCAAAAUUUUUUUUUUGAUAGAUAGGUAGCACGCUAUUCACUUCGUUUAUUUCAUUUAGAAAUAAACUUAGCUGGAAAUGUGAAUCAACUAGGAUUUGAACUUGGGACCUCAAGUAUCAACCAUCAAGUCCUUUCACUCCAACAAAAUUAGGUUAUGGGACACUUUUAUAUGAGCGUUCCAUUUAUGCUAAAUUUUUUUAAAAAAAUCUACUAAGUUUUAAAUAUAAAGCGGAAUCCAACCAAAAAUAAAAAUUUCUCUACUCAACCAACCAUACCAAACCCACUCGGCCCGAUUACAAAAUAAAUAAAUAAAUAAAUAAAAUAAAAAUAAUCACCAUCUUCUCUUCUCCUCUUCCGCUGCCGUAACCGACGAGAUAGGCUUUCAACAAAUGGAGUUCGGCCGCGAGGAUUUCGCAGGGACCGUAGAGAGCUACGAUCGCUACGUAUUUCUCCACCACAAGUUGCUGGAGGAGGGGUGCCAAAUAUUAAGAUGGCCCUNUGGUCUAUAGUUUAUACAAGUUAUGCACAUUUUUAUCUCAAUAAAAUCCCUUUAAUCUUAGGACGAGCCGACUGGUACCAUAUAUUAAUUUUUUUUUUACUUUCUUAUUAAUUAUCCACGUAUGAAACUAUUCAUAUGCAAAUUUAUUUUUUUUUGAUAGAUAGGUAGCGUGCUAUUCACUUCGUUUAUUUCAUUUAGAAAUAAACUUAGCUGGAAAUGUGAAUCAACUAGGAUUUGAACUUGGGACCUCAAGUACCAACCGUCAAGUCCUUUCACUACAACAAAAUUAGGUUAUGGGACACUUUUAUAUGAGCAUUCCAUUUAUGCUAAAUUUUUUUUAAAAAAUCUACUAAGCCUUAAAUAUAAAGCCGAAUCCAACCAAACAUAAAAAUUUCUCUACUCAACCAACCACACCGAGCCCACUCGGCCCGAUUACAAAAAAAAAAAAAGAAAAAAAAAAAAAAAAAAAAAAAAAAAAAAAAUUGAUCACCAUCUUCUCUUCUCCUCUUCCGCUGCCGUAACCGACGAGAUAGGGUUUCAACAAAUGGAGUUCGGCCACGAGGAUUUCGCAGGGACCGUAGAGAGCUACGAUCGCUACGUAUUUCUCCACCACAAGUUGCUGGAGGAGGGGUGCCAAAUAUUAAGAUGGCCCUAUCUAUAGCGACGCAACAUAUAGCAACAAUUUUAAAAAUGCCUGUAAUUUAGCCAGCGGCAUUUUUUUUUAUCCGUACCGAUAUUUAAAAGUAUCAUUAUAUACCUUUUUUAUUAUAAUAUUUGCCACUUGCUCUAGAGACGAUCGGCUCACAUGCAAAUUUUUAACAAAUGAAACGUGAUUUUAUUUUUUAUUUUUUAUUUUUUAUUUUUUUUUUAUAACA